rnacentral:pre_miRNA from 1 species
AUCUUAUAUGUCAGUCCAAAUGAGUUUUAAAUGCCAACUUAAAUGUCCAAUUGAGAUGAGAAUAAGUUUUUAAUUAAAUAAAAUUAAUUAAAUAAAAAUUUUAAAUUAAUUACAUUUUGAAAUGAAAAAAAAAUUUGUUUGUCUCUUUUUUCUUUUAGUUUUCUUUUUCAUUUUGAUUGAAAAAUUAUUCUCAUCCCAAUUGGACAACGAAGUUGGCAUUUAAAACACAUUUGGACUGCUACGUAGGA